AGGGAAAGGCGACAUCCCGAGAGCCCUCCAGAGCAGAUCUGAGCUCUGCUGGGCGGGGAAGCGGAGACUGAUUCGCCGCGGUCGCGGGCCCAGCGGCUGGGAGGUCCCGCGCUGGCCGAGCAAAUGAGGAGGGCGCAGGGCACGGGGGCGGUGCGCGCCCAGGACAGUUUCCCGUCGGCUUCUCCCGGACUGUCCUACCACUUCCAUCUCGGAGCGGGAUGCUCGGAUCCCCGCAAGGCCUCCUGCGGACGUGGGAGAGUUGCUGAGACAGGCAAGCGGGGUUUCGCUACUGGUUGCCACCCCUCCCGCCCUUUUGGGGAAGGUAGAGCUAAGCAGCAUUUGGCCGAAAUCCUGUGUCCGUGGAACAUUUAUUAUUAUUAUUAUUUUUCCUGAAACGCAGGUGAGAGUUGAUGAGGCUCAGCGUCUCCAGAUAAAAGAAGGGACAGAGCUGUCGGUGCGGUGAGGUUUGAAAAGUUGCGGCGGCCCCGGCAGCUGCAGGGGGCGAGCGCGGAGCAAAGCCCGGGCCGCACCAGACGGGCCCUGAGUCUCCAGGGCUCCUCGUCCCCAUGCGCCAGCGUGUCUGAUGCUUCACUGGACCCGGGUCUCUUUCUCAAUGUCAUCUCACAGCCUCUGUCCCUUGGGAGGAGACCAACACUAAAAGUGCAGUGAUGAGCCUCAUGUCUCACAGUUAGUCAGGCUCCUAAUCCAAAAGCCACUGCUAUGACCUGCGCUUCCGGACAUUCUGCCAUUUGAUCCCUACAACCUCACUACCUGAAGGACUAUAUUUUGAUCAUUCUUAAUGG
rnacentral:lncRNA from 10 species